rnacentral:lncRNA from 1 species
UCUUAUUUCUUUUUUUACUUUUACAAUAACACCCUUACAAUAAUUUUAAAAUAAUGUUUAAUACAUUUACAAUAAUCUCCCCAUAAGGCCAACAAUCUCCCCCUCAAUGACGCGCUAGAACUCAAUCUAUUUUGUGCUCAUGUUUCAACAUAACUAGCUUCAGCAUGCUCGCCCCUCCAUAAGGCCAACAAUCUGCCCCUCAAGACACCCUAGAACUCAUCUAUUCUAUGCCUACGUUUCAACAUAACUAGCUUUAGCAUGUUGGCCGCCAUAAGACAACAAUCUCCCCCUCUGCGACACUCUAGAACUCAAUUUAUUCUGAACCCAUGUUUCAGCAUAGAACUCGAUCUAUUUUGCGCCCACAUUUCAACAUGAUUAGCUUCAACAUGCAAGCCCCCCAUAAGGCCAACAAUCUCCCCCUCGACACCUUAGAACUCGAUCUAUUCCACACCCACACUUCAACAUAACUAGCUUUCAGCAUGCUUAAUUUUGGAGUUUUGCCUCCACCAUCCAUAAUGGAUCAAGGUGCUCAUUGCAGCUUCCUAAUAGAUUACUAUCAUUUAAUUUCUUCGAUUUCAACAUGCUUAACUAUGGAGUUUUGAAGUAAAGAUUGCUAUAUUCUUCAGAAAAUCAAUUAUUAGUUAAA